CUUUUUCAUUCUAUUUACUAAGCGGCAUUCAUAGGUAAAGACAGGAUCUGUUCUCAGUGUUAGUUCUUUGGAGCUGCAUAUUUUUAUUGCUACUAAAGUUUCAUAGGUUUGACUAAGCUGUGGACCAAAUAUGGCUCCUGCUCUCAAAGGCAAAGUUAUCGUAAUUAUGGGUGUCAGUGGUGCUGGCAAAUCCACAAUAGGUGAGAUGCUGGCCAAAGUAUUGAAUUGUAGUUUUCUCGAUGCCGAUGAUUUUCACUCACAAUCAAACAAAGAAAAAAUGCAUCAAGGCAUUCCUCUAUCAGAUAAAGACAG
rnacentral:misc_RNA from 1 species